CAACUUUAAUUUUUUUUAUUUUAUUUUUCUUUUUCCUUAAGAAUGUUUAACAUUAUAUGUUUAGUAGUUUUUCAUCCAUUUAAUUUAGUGUUGCAUUUUAAUGCCUUUAAUUGUUGUUAGAUAUUUGUUUGUUGUAGUGUUAGGUUUAGUAUUUUCUUUUACUUUAAUAUUGUCUAGUAUGUUUGGUUGUGUUAAUUUAACUAUG
rnacentral:lncRNA from 1 species